CUCCAGGCCCUUCCAACAAACAUCGGUCAGCCUAUCAUGCCCACAGCCACCAGUGACCCUAAGAAAUAUUCAUUCACUGUCCAUCUUCACAGCAUGGAUUCUGACCAAUAACUCAUAUUCACAGUAAAAGAAAUGCAACAGUGGCUGAUGCUCAUGGAAUUCAAAUGAUUCUUACCACAUACCUAGAAGCAACUGGACAGCAAGAAUGGUAUAAUGUCCUGUCAAAGACUCAUUAUGGAGUCAGUUGGGAAACAAUACCUUGUAAGGCUGGUGUACAAUCCUAAAAGGAACCUACACUCAAUAUGUGGAAGAUCUCCCAUCAUUAGUGCACAUGUGACUAAGAAUCAAAAGGUUCGCUACUUCUGGAUGGAAAAUCGUAACACAUGCCAGACAUCAUGAAAGACAAUACUGCAACUCAUUUGAUGCAGCUGGUUCACUUACAGUAGUUCAUGGACCAAGAAAUGAAAUAUUCUCCCAGGAAAAUCAGGACACUACAUCCAAUAAUGACUACAGUAGAAACAGCACUACAGACUAUGGUGCAUCCUGAGCUUUUGAUGAUUCUCUCCAGAGAAGGUGCAUUAUGUUAGUUUAUCAUUUUAAAUAAAUUCUCAACAAGCUAUU